CCACUGAUGAUUAUAGUGUGUGACACUGACACACACACACAGAAGAAACAAUGAUUUCUCUUAUUCUAAUGCUGGGGACACUCUGUCUGCUUGCUCAAGUGUCUCAUGAAGAGGUUCAGUCUCCUGAGUCUCUGUCUGUUAAAGCAGGAGAAUCUGUCUCUAUCAGCUGCACUGGGACCAGCGGAGUUGGUAAUGACAUGAGCUGGUAUCUGCAGAAACCUGGAGAAGCUCCUAAACUCCUGAUCUACACAGCCAGUGAACUUGAAUCUGGAGUCCCAGAUCGGUUCAGUGGAAGUGGAUCUGAACCUGAUUUCACACUGAACAUACGUGGAGCCCAGCCUGAGGAUGCAGGAGUUUAUUACUGUAUGGGGGCUUAUAGUAACGGGUGCUCACAGUGAAACAGCAUCGUACAAAAACCUCCCUCAGUCUGACAGCUAAGAGAAUAUGAGGAUACCGAGAAGUUCACAAUAUCAGUUAAUUAUUAUAUCAUCAAGCUGUGCUUAAUUACAGUUACAAAUGAAGAUAGUACAUCCAUAAGAUAAUAUACACUGAUGAAUUAAUUAGAUUUUAGUUCAUUAUAAAUGAAACAUGAAAUCCAUGUGUCUGUUUCAGUAUUCACAUACUCUUUCAUUCAUCCUUGUAGCUGCCCUAAUUUGUAGCAUUUUGAGCAACAGAAGUAACAAUCUGUGCAUGA